rnacentral:rRNA from 1 species
GUAGUUCGAUCCGUGGCACGAGAGACGCUGGACGCGUGCUUAACACAUGCAAGUCGAACGGAGUGACCUCGGAAAGAGAUUUCGGGCAAUGGAAGAGGUUACUUAGUGGCGGACGGGUGAGUAACGCGUGAGGAACCUGACCUUUCAGAGGGGGACAACAGUUGGAAACGACUGCUAAUACCGCAUAACAUAUGUUUGUCGCAUGGCAGAUAUAUCAAAGAUUUAUCGCUGAGAGAUGGCCUACGCGUCUGAUUAGCUGGUUGGUAGGGUAACGGCCUACCAAGGCGACGAUCAGUAGCCGGACUGAGAGGUUGGCCGGCCACAUUCGGGACUGAGGAUACGGCCCAGACUCCUACGGGAGGCAGCAGUGGGGAAUAUUGGGCAAUGGGCGCAAGCCUGACCCAGCAACGCCGCGUGAAGGAAGAAGGCUUUCGGGUUGUAAACUUCUUUUAAGAGGGAAGAGCAGAAGACGGUACCUCUUGAAUAAGCUCCGGCUAACUACGUG